GGCACUGUAGAUACCUUCUGCUUCAGAUAAGUUUGCGUCAAUCGUCCUUGCAACAGAACCGUGAUCAAUAAAUGCUUGAAGAGCUUGGUCGGGCAUUGUUGAAACCUAGCAGAAAUUUCUUUAGAGGUCAACCAUCAUGCAUACACAGGUAAUACAGAUUAUUCGCAUCUUUAAUCUUUGUCCCCGUUAGCCUAGGGCCUAUAUUAUGAUUUUUUUAUUUUUUCAGAUAAAAAUAGCCUUCUAGGUUAACGGGAGACAAGAAUGUAAGCUCCCGUUUGGCCAUAGAUGUAACUUGAAAUUUUGAGUUCUAGAAGUUGUGAUUGGACAUGCAUUUUACUUGGUGAGCCAGUUUUUAGAAACAUGAAAAAAAUUUGAAGAUCAGAUUUUGAAAAUCUAAUCAAAUUUCAUAGUCAAACAGAUAUUUGAAGAUAAA
rnacentral:lncRNA from 1 species